AGCGUACACGGUGGAUGCCCUGGCAGUCAGAGGCGAUGAAGGACGUGCUAAUCUGCGAUAAGCGUCGGUAAGGUGAUAUGAACCGUUAUAACCGGCGAUUUCCGAAUGGGGAAACCCAGUGUGUUUCGACACACUAUCAUUAACUGAAUCCAUAGGUUAAUGAGGCGAACCGGGGGAACUGAAACAUCUAAGUACCCCGAGGAAAAGAAAUCAACCGAGAUUCCCCCAGUAGCGGCGAGCGAACGGGGAGCAGCCCAGAGCCUGAAUCAGUGUGUGUGUUAGUGGAAGCGUCUGGAAAGGCGCGCGAUACAGGGUGACAGCCCCGUACACAAAAAUGCACAUGCUGUGAGCUCGAUGAGUAGGGCGGGACACGUGGUAUCCUGUCUGAAUAUGGGGGGACCAUCCUCCAAGGCUAAAUACUCCUGACUGACCGAUAGUGAACCAGUACCGUGAGGGAAAGGCGAAAAGAACCCCGGCGAGGGGAGUGAAAAAGAACCUGAAACCGUGUACGUACAAGCAGUGGGAGCACGCUUAGGCGUGUGACUGCGUACCUUUUGUAUAAUGGGUCAGCGACUUAUAUUCUGUAGCAAGGUUAACCGAAUAGGGGAGCCGAAGGGAAACCGAGUCUUAACUGGGCGUUAAGUUGCAGGGUAUAGACCCGAAACCCGGUGAUCUAGCCAUGGGCAGGUUGAAGGUUGGGUAACACUAACUGGAGGACCGAACCGACUAAUGUUGAAAAAUUAGCGGAUGACUUGUGGCUGGGGGUGAAAGGCCAAUCAAACCGGGAGAUAGCUGGUUCUCCCCGAAAGCUAUUUAGGUAGCGCCUCGUGAAUUCAUCUCCGGGGGUAGAGCACUGUUUCGGCAAGGGGGUCAUCCCGACUUACCAACCCGAUGCAAACUGCGAAUACCGGAGAAUGUUAUCACGGGAGACACACGGCGGGUGCUAACGUCCGUCGUGAAGAGGGAAACAACCCAGACCGCCAGCUAAGGUCCCAAAGUCAUGGUUAAGUGGGAAACGAUGUGGGAAGGCCCAGACAGCCAGGAUGUUGGCUUAGAAGCAGCCAUCAUUUAAAGAAAGCGUAAUAGCUCACUGGUCGAGUCGGCCUGCGCGGAAGAUGUAACGGGGCUAAACCAUGCACCGAAGCUGCGGCAGCGACGCUGAUGCGUUGUUGGGUAGGGGAGCGUUCUGUAAGCCUGCGAAGGUGUGCUGUGAGGCAUGCUGGAGGUAUCAGAAGUGCGAAUGCUGACAUAAGUAACGAUAAAGCGGGUGAAAAGCCCGCUCGCCGGAAGACCAAGGGUUCCUGUCCAACGUUAAUCGGGGCAGGGUGAGUCGACCCCUAAGGCGAGGCCGAAAGGCGUAGUCGAUGGGAAACAGGUUAAUAUUCCUGUACUUGGUGUUACUGCGAAGGGGGGACGGAGAAGGCUAUGUUGGCCGGGCGACGGUUGUCCCGGUUUAAGCGUGUAGGCUGGUUUUCCAGGCAAAUCCGGAAAAUCAAGGCUGAGGCGUGAUGACGAGGCACUACGGUGCUGAAGCAACAAAUGCCCUGCUUCCAGGAAAAGCCUCUAAGCAUCAGGUAACAUCAAAUCGUACCCCAAACCGACACAGGUGGUCAGGUAGAGAAUACCAAGGCGCUUGAGAGAACUCGGGUGAAGGAACUAGGCAAAAUGGUGCCGUAACUUCGGGAGAAGGCACGCUGAUAUGUAGGUGAAGUCCCUCGCGGAUGGAGCUGAAAUCAGUCGAAGAUACCAGCUGGCUGCAACUGUUUAUUAAAAACACAGCACUGUGCAAACACGAAAGUGGACGUAUACGGUGUGACGCCUGCCCGGUGCCGGAAGGUUAAUUGAUGGGGUUAGCCGCAAGGCGAAGCUCUUGAUCGAAGCCCCGGUAAACGGCGGCCGUAACUAUAACGGUCCUAAGGUAGCGAAAUUCCUUGUCGGGUAAGUUCCGACCUGCACGAAUGGCGUAAUGAUGGCCAGGCUGUCUCCACCCGAGACUCAGUGAAAUUGAACUCGCUGUGAAGAUGCAGUGUACCCGCGGCAAGACGGAAAGACCCCGUGAACCUUUACUAUAGCUUGACACUGAACAUUGAGCCUUGAUGUGUAGGAUAGGUGGGAGGCUUGGAAGUGUGGACGCCAGUCUGCAUGGAGCCGACCUUGAAAUACCACCCUUUAAUGUUUGAUGUUCUAACGUUGACCCGUAAUCCGGGUUGCGGACAGUGUCUGGUGGGUAGUUUGACUGGGGCGGUCUCCUCCUAAAGAGUAACGGAGGAGCACGAAGGUUGGCUAAUCCUGGUCGGACAUCAGGAGGUUAGUGCAAUGGCAUAAGCCAGCUUGACUGCGAGCGUGACGGCGCGAGCAGGUGCGAAAGCAGGUCAUAGUGAUCCGGUGGUUCUGAAUGGAAGGGCCAUCGCUCAACGGAUAAAAGGUACUCCGGGGAUAACAGGCUGAUACCGCCCAAGAGUUCAUAUCGACGGCGGUGUUUGGCACCUCGAUGUCGGCUCAUCACAUCCUGGGGCUGAAGUAGGUCCCAAGGGUAUGGCUGUUCGCCAUUUAAAGUGGUACGCGAGCUGGGUUUAGAACGUCGUGAGACAGUUCGGUCCCUAUCUGCCGUGGGCGCUGGAGAACUGAGGGGGGCUGCUCCUAGUACGAGAGGACCGGAGUGGACGCAUCACUGGUGUUCGGGUUGUCAUGCCAAUGGCACUGCCCGGUAGCUAAAUGCGGAAGAGAUAAGUGCUGAAAGCAUCUAAGCACGAAACUUGCCCCGAGAUGAGUUCU
rnacentral:rRNA from 1 species